AAAUGCCGGUGGAAAUCCAUUCUACACCAUGUGUGUAAUGAGCAUGAGCGGACAGAUGAUGACGGAGGACAGCAUCGGUGUGACCAUGCUCCUCUAACAGCACAGGAGCAAAAGCAUUUGGAUGAAGAAGGAUUCUGUGGCAUUUUAAGACCUGUCAUCGCUGGUCCUGGACAAAAGGCUUCUGAGAGACAUGGAAAAGAUGGCCCUGUUCAAACAUACUGGGCCGCUGGAAGUCUUUCACAGCGCACUUUUGAAAUACCUCCCCAAUGUUAGUUCCUGCACUACAAUGGAGAAGCACGGUUCAACCAAAUGUUCUGCAAUAGAUCCAGGCAGUGGGUCUUGAAGAAAAUCUUCAUACUACACACAACACAGUUUGUAGACAAACUCAUCCAGAAGGCCAUUGACAAGACUCAAUCCAAACAUUGUGUUCAAGGUGCCAACCUCCUCACUUGCCCUGCAACAGCCUGCGCUGCCACCCAACAUUGCACCAGUGCCUAAACCAUCAAAGGAGGCUGCCACGACUUCUUUUAAUAGUCACUUCUGAGACUGACACUUUCUAAUAAUAAUAAUAAUCACCUUUUCCCUGAGUCCUAUUGCUGUGUCUAAUCAGAUUCUGCCACCACUCUUUAUAUUUAUAUUAUUAUAUACUGUGUGUAUAUACACACAUAUAAUGAUUAUUUAUUUUUUUGCUUUGUUUUUA